GGGGUUGUAGCUUAGUGGCAGAGUGCUUGUCUUAUACAUGUGAGGCCCUGGGUUCAAUCCUCAGCACCA
rnacentral:tRNA from 1 species